GACGAACGCUGGCGGCGUGCCUAAUACAUGCAAGUCGAACGAAGCGCUUGAAUGGAAUUCUUCGGAAGGAAGCUCAAGUGACUGAGUGGCGGACGGGUGAGUAACGCGUGGGUAACCUGCCUCAUACAGGGGGAUAACAGUUAGAAAUGACUGCUAAUACCGCAUAAGCACACGUGAUCGCAUGAUCGAGUGUGAAAAACUCCGGUGGUAUGAGAUGGACCCGCGUCUGAUUAGGUAGUUGGUGGGGUAACGGCCUACCAAGCCGACGAUCAGUAGCCGACCUGAGAGGGUGACCGGCCACAUUGGGACUGAGACACGGCCCAAA
rnacentral:rRNA from 1 species